GGGCUGAGGGAAUUGUCCUCUGUGGAAGGGACUUUCUUUUGGCCCUAGGCCCCUUCCUGCCCCUGUCGUCAGCAGAGUCUCUACAAGGAAGAUAACGGACUGUAAAAUUCUAUAAAGCAAAGCUACACAUCACUUGACACCAUACACCAUCUUGGUUACAUAAUGAAGGUGAUCAACAAAUGUUUGUUGAAAUAUAAACUCUCUAGGCAUUUGCAUUAGAUGGAGCCUGGAUUAUUUCUUUUGUGGCCAAAAAACCCCGCUAUAUUUAGCUUCAAAAAAUUUGCAAAUAGUAUAUUGUUAGUACAAGUCACCCUUUUUUACUAAACUGAUUACAAGACUACAGUUAAAGUAUAUGCAGGCCACAGUUUAUAGAUUCUAGUCCUGAUGUUUUUUCCAGUUAUUUUGAACUUAGAAACUAGCUUUACCUUCAAAAUAUAUUAAGAAUCUGACCACUUCUCACCAUCUCUACUACUGCUAUUCUGAUCUAAUUCUUCCAGCUGUUUUGUUGCAGUCGCUUCCCAAAUGAUUUCCUUACUUUCCCUUUUCCCUCUCCACCUUCAUUCAGUCUGUUCUUAAAAUAGCAGCCAGAAUGAUCCUAUAAACUUGUUAAAUUUUAUGCCUUAUCUGCUGAAAACCUUCCAGUAGCCCCGGUUAGCUUUCAGACCUCAUCUCCUUUUCCCACUAGUUCAGUCCAGCCACAUUUGCCACCUCCUCAGUCACACCAGGGGGACUUCUUUGCACUAGUUGUUUCCUCUGCUAGGGCCACUCUUUCCCCCACAUACAUGCAUAGUUCUUUCAUCUCCUUCUGGUCUUUUCCUAAAGAUUACCUCAGUGAAGCCUUUCAUGGCCUCUGUAUAUAAAAUUGCAGACACCCCAUUUCCUUGAACUGUUCCUAACCUCUUUCCCUGCCCUGUUUUUUCUUGGUACUUCAAACUAUGUAUCAUUAUUCAUUUUACUUAUUUUAUCUUGUUUUUUGUCUGUUCCAGUACACUGUGAGCUCUAUAAGGGCAAGGAUCUUUGCCUGUUUUGGUCAUUGCUGUAUUCCCAAUGCAUAGAAAAUGCCCAGGAUAGUAGAUAAUAUUUGUUGAAUGAAUGGAUCAGUUUCUCUAUAGUUUGGUUCCUAGGGUAGCCUACCAACAUUUUAAAAAUCAAUAAUAAGGCCGGGCGCGGUGGCUCACGCCUGUAAUCCCAGCACUUUGGGAGGCCGAGGUGGGUGGAUCACAAGGUCAGGAGUUCAAGACCAGCUGGAAAAAAAAAAUUAGCUGGACAUGGUGGCAGGCACCUGUAAUCUCAGCCACUCGGGAGGCUGAGGCCGAGAAUUGCUUGAACCAGGAGGUAGGGGUUGCAGUAAGCAGAGAUCAAGCCACUGCACUUCAGCCUGGGCAACAGAGUGAGGCUCGUCUCAAAAAUAAAUAAAUAAAUAAU
rnacentral:lncRNA from 10 species